AGGUUACGACAUGAUUCGAGCUCGGCUCGACUCUCCCACCCAAUGUGUACCUACCUCUGUUGCUUUGGCGGGCCGCGGUCCUCCGCACCGGCGCCCUUCGGGGGGCUGGCCAGCGCCCGCCAGAGGACCAUAAAACUCCAGUCAGUGAACUUCGCAGUCUGAAAAACAAGUUAAUAAACUAAAACUUUCAACAACGGAUCUCUUGGUUCUGGCAUCGAUGAAGAACGCAGCGAAAUGCGAUAAGUAAUGUGAAUUGCAGAAUUCAGUGAAUCAUCGAAUCUUUGAACGCACAUUGCGCCCCUUGGUAUUCCGAGGGGCAUGCCUGUUCGAGCGUCAUUUCAACCCUCAAGCUCUGCUUGGUGUUGGGCCCCGUCCUCCACGGACGCGCCUUAAAGACCUCGGCGGUGGCGUCUUGCCUCAAGCGUAGUAGAAAACACCUCGCUUUGGAGCGCACGGCGUCGCCCGCCGGACGAACCUUUGAAUUAUUUCUCAAGGUUGACCUCGGAUCAGGUAGGGAUACCCGCUGAACUUAAGCAUAUC
rnacentral:rRNA from 1 species